AACGAACGCUGGCGGCAGGCUUAACACAUGCAAGUCGAACGCAUCCUUCGGGGUGAGUGGCAGACGGGUGAGUAACGCGUGGGAACGUGCCCUUCAGUUCGGGAUAACCCAGGGAAACUUGGGCUAAUACCGGAUACGUGCGAGAGCAGAAAGAUUUAUCGCUGAAGGAUCGGCCCGCGUCUGAUUAGCUAGUUGGUGGGGUAGUGGCCCACCAAGGCGACGAUCAGUAGCUGGUCUGAGAGGAUGAUCAGCCACAUUAGGACUGAGACACGGCCCAAACUCCUACGGGAGGCAGCAGUGGGGUAUAUUGGACAAUGGGCGCAAGCCUGAUCCAGCCAUGCCGCGUGAGUGAUGAAGGCCUUAGGGUUGUAAAGCUCUUUCGUCCGGGACGAUAAUGACGGUACCGGAAGAAGAAGCCCCGGCUAACUUCGUGCCAGCCGCCGCAGUAA
rnacentral:rRNA from 1 species